rnacentral:rRNA from 1 species
AUUGAACGCUGGCGGCAUGCUUUACACAUGCAAGUCGAACGGUAACAGGGAGCUUGCUCCGCUGACGAGUGGCGAACGGGUGAGUAAUGCGUCGGAACGUGCCGAGUAGGUGGGGAUAACGCAUCGAAAGGUGUGCUAAUACCGCAUACGUACUGAGGUAGAAAGUGGGGGACCUUCGGGCCUCACGCCAUUCGAGCGGCCGAAGUCUGAUUAGCUAGUUGGUGAGGUAAAGGAUCACCAAGGCGACGAUCAGUAGCGGGUCUGAGAGGCUGAUCCGCCACACUGGGACUGAGACACGGCCCAGACUCCUACGGGAGGCAGCAGUGGGGAAUUUUGGACAAUGGGCGCAAGCCUGAUCCAGCCAUGCCGCGUGUCUGAAGAAGGCCUUCGGGUUGUAAAGGACUUUUGCCCGGGAGCAAAUGCCUGGUGUUAAUAGCACUGGGAGCUGAGAGUACCGGAAGAAUAAGCACCGGCUAACUACGUGCCAGCAGCCGCGGUAAAAC